rnacentral:rRNA from 1 species
UACGUAGGGGGCGAGCGUUGUCCGAAGUUACUGGGCGUAAAGAGCACGUAGGCGGUCGGCCACGUUCGGCGUGACAGUUCCCGGCUUAACCGGGAAAGGAUGUACGAAUACGAGCUGACUUGAGGACUUGAGAGGGAGACGGAAUUCCGGGUGGAGCGGUGAAAUGCGUAGAGAUCCGGAGGAACACCCAAGGCGAAGGCAGUCUCCUGGCAAGUGGCUGACGCUGAGGUGCGAAAGCGAGGGGAGCCAACAGG